AACGCACGAGACCUGCGGACCUGCGGAGGGAUCAUUACCGAGUUUACAACUCCCAAACCCAAUGUGAACGUUACCAAACUGUUGCCUCGGCGGGGUCACGCCCCGGGUGCGUCGCAGCCCCGGAACCAGGCGCCCGCCGGAGGAACCAACCAAACUCUUUCUGUAGUCCCCUCGCGGACGUUAUUUCUUACAGCUCUGAGCAAAAAUUCAAAAUGAAUCAAAACUUUUAACAACGGAUCU
rnacentral:misc_RNA from 1 species